GAAUAUUGGACAAUGGGGGGAACCCUGAUCCAGCCAUGCCGCGUGUGUGAAGAAGGCCUUUUGGUUGUAAAGCACUUUAAGCGCGGAGGAGGAGCUCUUGGUUAAUACCCAAGAUGAGUGGACGUUACUAGAAGAAUCAGCACCGGCUAACGCGGGGCCAGCAGCCGCGGUAAUACAGAGGGUGCAAGCGUUAAGCGGAUUUACUGGGCGUAAAGAGAGCGUAGGUGGACAAUUAAGUCAAAUGUGAAAUCCCCGAGCUUAACUUGGGAAUUGCAUUCGAUACUGGUUGGCUAGAGUAUGGGAGAGGAUGGUAGAAUUCCAGGUGUAGCGGUGAAAUGCGUAGAGAUCUGGAGGAAUACCGAUGGCGAAGGCAGCCAUCUGGCCUAAUACUGACACUGAGGUGCGAAAGCAUGGGGAGCAAACA
rnacentral:rRNA from 1 species